CCUACGGGAGGCAGCAGUGGGGAAUUUUGGACAAUGGGCGAAAGCCUGAUCCAGCAAUGCCGCGUGUGUGAAGAAGGCCUUCGGGUUGUAAAGCACUUUUGUCCGGAAAGAAAUCCUUGGCCCUAAUACGGUGGGGGAUGACGGUACCGGAAGAAUAAGCCCG
rnacentral:rRNA from 1 species